GACGUAGGGCGCAAGCGUUGUCCGGAAUCAUUGGGCGUAAAGAGCGUGUAGGCGGCCCGGUAAGUCCGCUGUGAAAGUCCAGGGCUCAACCCUGGGAUGCCGGUGGAUACUGUCGGGCUCGAGUCCGGAAGAGGAGUGUGGAAUUCCUGGUGUAGCGGUGAAAUGCGCAGAUAUCAGGAGGAACACCAAUGGCGAAGGCAGCACUCUGGGACGUGACUGACGCUGAGACGCGAAAGCGUGGGGAGCAAACAGG
rnacentral:rRNA from 1 species